UACAGAGGUCCCAAGCGUUGUUCGGAUUCAUUGGGCGUAAAGGGUGCGUAGGCGGCGCGGUAAGUCGGGUGUGAAAUCUCGGGGCUUAACUCCGAAACUGCAUUCGAUACUGCCGUGCUUGAGGACUGGAGAGGAGACUGGAAUUUACGGUGUAGCGGUGAAAUGCGUAGAUAUCGUAAGGAAGACCAGUGGCGAAGGCGGGUCUCUGGCCAUGUACUGACACUGAAGCACGAAAGCGUGGGGAGCAAACAGG
rnacentral:rRNA from 1 species